rnacentral:rRNA from 1 species
CUACGGGGUGCAGCAGUGAGGAAUUUUGCGCAAUGGGGGGAACCCUGACGCAGCAACGCCGCGUGAGUGAUGAAGGCUUUCGGGUCGUAAAGCUCUGUCAAGUGGGAAGAACCUAUGCAGUGUUAAUAUCACUGUAUACUGACGGUACCACUGAAGGAAGCACCGGCUAACUCCGUGCCAGCAGCCGCGGUAAUACGGGGGGUGCAAGCGUUAUUCGGAAUCAUUGGGCGUAAAGGGCACGUAGGCGGCUUGGUAAGUCAGAUGUGAAAGCCCGGGGCUUAACCCCGGAAGUGCAUUUGAUACUGUCAGGCUUGAGUAUGGGAGAGGGAAGUGGAAUUCCUGGUGUAGAGGUGAAACUCGUAGAUAUCAGGAGGAACACCGGUGGCGAAGGCGACUUCCUGGACCAAUACUGACGCUGAGGUGCGAAGGCGUGGGUAGCAAACAGGAUUAGAUACCCCAGUAGUC